ACGUAGGGACCAAGCGUUGUUCGGAUUUACUGGGCGUAAAGGGCGCGUAGGCGGCAAUUCAAGUCAGCUGUGAAAUCUCCGGGCUUAACUCGGAACGGUCAGCUGAUACUGCUUUGCUAGAGUGCGGAAGGGGCAAUCGGAAUUCUCGGUGUAGCGGUGAAAUGCGUAGAUAUCUAGAGGAACGUCAAAGGUGAAGACAGGCGGCUGGGCCGAUUCUGACGCUGAGGCACGAAAGCGUGGGGAGCGAACGGGA
rnacentral:rRNA from 1 species